UGCUGUGUUUGAUCCAUUUGUAAUGGCUGAGUUGAAGUCUGCCUCCAAGAAUCCGUUGGCCAGCCGCUCUCUGCUGGUCCACUGCUAAAGCAGGAGAUGUCGCCAGACGACCACCAGGAACCUCCAGCAGCAAUUGCCUAACCAGAUGUGAAGAGUUUAGCAGUGCACAAGAAGAAAGCGAAGAGAAGACAGACAAAGACCUGUCUUGGCUGUGGACAGCCCAAGUGUCAAUAGUGCGUCAUUUAGUCAUUGUGAAAAGUUAUAUUUGAAUGCUGGCCUUAAAUGUUCCAUAUCAUUUCUGAAAUGCUUAUCUUUAUGAUUACAAUCCACACUUUUACAUUUGUAUGUUACACUUGUCAUUGUUAAUAGCUGUUUGUUUGUCAUUUUCCUUUGUCAUUGUAAGCAGUUAUAUUUAAUUGUUGGCCUUAAAUUAUCCAUAUUAUUUCUCAAACAUGUAUCUUUAAUUACAGUCCACGCUAUUCCAUUUGUGUAAAUACUGAGACAAGUAUAAAUUAUUUCAGAUGUUGUCAAUAAAACUAUGAUGACUAAUAAAAAUGGAACUUAUUUUGAAAUAUUA